UACAGAGGUCUCAAGCGUUGUUCGGAUUCAUUGGUCGUAAAGGGUGCGUAGGCGGCGCGGUAAGUCGGGUGUGAAAUCUCGGAGCUUAACUCCGAAACUGCAUUCGAUACUGCCGUGCUUGAGGACUGGAGAGGAGACUGGAAUUUACGGUGUAGCGGUGAAAUGCGUAGAUAUCGUAAGGAAGACCAGUGGCGAAGGCGGGUCUCUGGACAGUUCCUGACGCUGAGGCACGAAGGCCAGGGGAGCAAACGGG
rnacentral:rRNA from 1 species